GACGAACGCUGGCGGCGCGCCUAACACAUGCAAGUCGAACGAGCGAGAGAGAGCUUGCUUUCUCGAGCGAGUGGCGAACGGGUGAGUAACGCGUGAGGAACCUGCCUCAAGGAGGGGGACAACAGUUGGAAACGACUGCUAAUACCGCAUAAGCCCACGGUGCCGCAUGGCACAGAGGGAAAAGGAGCAAUCCGCUUUGAGAUGGCCUCGCGUCCGAUUAGCUAGUUGGUGAGGUAAUGGCCCACCAAGGCGACGAUCGGUAGCCGGACUGAGAGGUUGAACGGCCACAUUGGGACUGAGACACGGCCCAGACUCCUACGGGAGGCAGCAGUGGGGAAUAUUGCACAAUGGGGGAAAACCUGAUGCAGCGACGCCGCGUGGAGGAAGAAGGUCUUCGGAUUGUAAACUCCUGUUGUUGGGGAAGAUAAUGACGGUACCCAACAAGGAAGUGACGGCUAACUACGUG
rnacentral:rRNA from 1 species